AUAUUAACCGUUGCUUGAGUGAAAUUUGUUUUAUUCAAACUGUUUUUGAGAGUCGCUCCUUGUCUGCCUACCUGUACUGUAGAACGAAGGAGGCAACACUGGAUGCUCUCACUACGUUGACGUGCCAGGAUAGAGCGGGAACACGGUUGUCACCAUGUCAUUUCAUUGACCGAAUGGGUUCCUGUGCCUUCAGAACUCCAAGAGUUUACGCUUGUAGCCAUGGUUUAUGAACUAAAACGUUGCCAAAACCAGUGCUGCUCUGUAUUUCUAUAGACAUGUAAGAGGAAAAAGUUACCAGAAUGUGAAUUAGCUAGUCAAAUUCACGCUUAGCGACGUUAAAAUCUCCCUGAAGUCAUAGACCGUAAAAAAACUCCACUCAGGAGCACGAGCGCAAUGGCGGGGAAAACCUAACACCAAAGAAAAAGCGUAAAACGAAAUUGUUUUCCCCUUUACUAUAGUAAGUACGGUUUGACUAAUCGUGACGUAAUUUGUGUUUUUGAAAGCGCUUUAGGAAUAUGUAGUUAACUAGGCGCAAAUGCUGAAGCCGAUCAGACGUUGGACUUAAUUUCCCGAGUAAACCCCUGUCGAGAAAUGUGGCGCAAGUUUGAAACUUGCGAAUGUUCUCCACAGCUACAGCGUUUGAGAAGUUUACUGGUAUCGUUUCCCUGUCCGCAAGGGGGCAAACAGCUCAGAGGCUGGAUGGCUGGAGUCGUUCACAAUCCUGAGCGCGCACGUGAGCGCGCUCUGGAGUGGUAAAUGUCGGUGGGGAGAACAGAACGGCUGUUUCAUAAGAGCUUGUCUGCAGAAGCAGGAAGUCCCCAAAUGGAGGCACUGUUGAAAUCAAGAAGCUGACUCCUCAGAAAUGGAAAAGGGAAGAGGAGGAAUCGGGGCUUGAACCCUCAACCUCAGCAUUCAAACCCCAUGUCAAUGCCACUACACCACCAUCAUGUCUGGGUUCUCAGUCGGUAGUUUCCAGUGCUCUACAGAGACAUUGUCAAUCGGAUGAGAUUUAUAGAUGAAGAGAGUCAAAAGGAGAGAGCUGGGCUCGAACUCUGUACCUCUGUAGCCAGAGGCGGAGACACUACCAUUAAGCCACGGUGGGAUUAACGAGUUCGGCGGUGAUUUUUUGGAUAGAAGAAGAUGAGCCCAGAGGGACAAAAAUUGGGAAGAGCUCUGAAUUAACCGAAUAACUCCGCAUCCAAAGACGACAAUUUUCACGACACAAUUAUCUUUGAUAUGGUUUUGGAGUCUCUGUGGGAGGAGGGGGCAGGGUUCAGGGGGUGGGGGGAAAGGAGAGGGAGGGAAAUUGAACUUACAUCCUUCUGCUUUGUGGAGUGAGGUCCUGUUCCCUGCACCACAGAGCUCAUCAAGGUUUAUACAGACAUAAACAGGAAGAGGUCAGCCUUGAGUCACAGAUCCAGAGCAGGUGCUCUCCCUCUUGAGCAGACAGGCAAGGCCAGACAAGAGAAGUCAUCAUGCGUAUAGCUUUAACACAAACACUUUCAUUAAAAACUCUAAUAUGUGUUUGCUUUCUUUUAAAGUGUUUUAAAAUGUAAAACACGUAGAAUUAUGUCCCUAAAACACGAAGAAGAGACUGUGGCGAAAUAUAAACCCACAGCAUAUCGUAUGUAAGCUACUUUGUGAAGCUUUUGUUAUAUGUAAGGAAUGCUUGUGCUGUGUUUAUUUGUGUAUUGAACAAGUGAUUUGAAGUCCCAUCCAAUCAGAUGAUCUAAUUACUGGGGUAAAGGUGUGCCUGCAGGUAAUUAGUUGGUUUAAAAUGAUGCCUUUGAAUGUUUUCCUUCACCGUGAUUAAAAUGAGAUGGUUAAGCUAGCCGGUACUACAUUUCUGAGAACACUGAUCUCCUCUGCUUUCAUGAAGUGCUGUGGAUGUGUGCUGGGGACAGGGCUUGUAAAUGCACAUUAUUUUUAUUUAAUGAAAGAUAACUCAGUGUAUGUUCUGCAGUUUCAUUAAUCUUUGAAAGAUGUGCUGUCAUUGCUCAAUAAAAAAUACACAAUAAGAACA